GACGAACGCUGGCGGCGUGCUUAACACAUGCAAGUCGAACGGAAAGGCCCUGCUUUUGUGGGGUGCUCGAGUGGCGAACGGGAGAGUAACACGUGAGUAACCUGCCCUUGACUUUGGGAUAACUUCAGGAAACUGGGGCUAAUACCGGAUAGGAGCUCCUGCUGCAUGGUGGGGGUUGGAAAGUUUCGACGGUUGGGGAUGGACUCGCGGCUUAUCGGCUUGUUGGUGGGGUAGUGGAUUACCAUGGCUUUGACCGGUAGCCGGCCUGGGAGGGUGACCGGCCACGUUGGGACUGGAAUGCGGCCCAGACUCCAACGGGAGGCAGCAGUGGGGAAUGUUGCACAAUGGGCGGAAGCCUAAUGCAGCAACGCAGCGUGCGGGAUGACGGCCUUCUGGUUGUAAUCCGCUUUCGCCUGUGACGAAGCGUGAUUGACGGUAAUGGGUAAAGAAGCACCGGCUAACUACGUG
rnacentral:rRNA from 1 species